GGUUAAGCGACUAAGCGUACACGGUGGAUGCCCUGGCAGUCAGAGGCGAUGAAGGGCGUGCUAAUCUGCGAUAAGCGCCGGUAAGGUGAUAUGAACCGUUAUAACCGGCGAUACCCGAAUGGGGAAACCCAGUGUGAUUCGUCACACUAUCAUUACGUGAAUACAUAGCGUAAUGAAGCGAACCGGGGGAACUGAAACAUCUAAGUACCCCGAGGAAAAGAAAUCAACCGAGAUUCCCCCAGUAGCGGCGAGCGAACGGGGAGGAGCCCAGAGCCUGAAUCAGCAUGUGUGUUAGUGGAAGCGUCUGGAAAGGCGCGCGAUACAGGGUGACAGCCCCGUACACAAAAGCGCAUGUGUUGUGAGCUCGAUGAGUAGGGCGGGACACGUGGUAUCCUGUCUGAAUAUGGGGGGACCAUCCUCCAAGGCUAAAUACUCCUGACUGACCGAUAGUGAACCAGUACCGUGAGGGAAAGGCGAAAAGAACCCCGGCGAGGGGAGUGAAAAAGAACCUGAAACCGUGUACGUACAAGCAGUGGGAGCACCCUUUGGGGUGUGACUGCGUACCUUUUGUAUAAUGGGUCAGCGACUUAUAUUCUGUAGCAAGGUUAACCG
rnacentral:rRNA from 2 species